rnacentral:rRNA from 1 species
UACAGAGGGUGCAAGCGUUGUUCGGAAUUAUUGGGCGUAAAGCGCGUGUAGGCGGCUUUGUAUGUCGGGUGUGAAAUCCCUCGGCCCAACCGAGGAACUGCGCCCAGUACUGCGUUGCUUGAGGAUCCAAGGGGUGCAUGGAAUUCCCGGUGGAGCGGUGAAAUGCGUUGAUAUCGGGAGGAACUCCGGCGGCGAAAGCGGUGCACUGGUGGAUUACUGACGCUGAGGUGCGAAAGCCAGGGGAGCAAACGGG